AUGGAUGGAUGGGGAUGGGGCGGCGACGGCGGCGGCGGCGGCCUUCUCUCGGUGCUUGCUGAUGUGGUGGACAUCGACGUCGGUGACGGGUUGCAGCACGUAGACAUCAAAGGUUUACAUCCAGGCUAUUGGGGAGCAACUCAUGGAGAUGAUGAUAAUCAAGGGAGCCAUCUAUGUGACUUCCAACCACGGGGACAACUAGAAGGAAAGAAAUGGUUUGUGGCUGGGACAUCUGAUGGUGUGAUCCAUGUGUACAAUUACGACAACAGAAUACAAAAACUCAGAAGUUUCAGAGCCGCCAGUGAUUGCUUCAUCACAUCAAUGGCCGUCAAUCCAACCCGUUCGUAUGUACUGUCAUCGGCUUAUCAUGAUAUAAAGCUCUGGGACUGGAGCAAGGGCUGGGAGUGCACAAAAUCAUUCGUCCAAGAACACACCGAUACUGUUUGGAGCAUUGGUUCUCCCGAAUCAAAAUAUACUUUGUAUGGGCAUCUGGACAAAGUGAACUGCCUUGAUUUCUUCAAAUGUAAUGAUCGACAGUAUUUGAUUACUGGCUCUGAUGAUCACACUGCUAAGAUAUGGGACAUGGAAGAAAAGGCUUGUGUUCAUACAAUGGAAGCUUUCGUGUCUCCAGUAACUUCUGUCAUUGCCCUCGCCGAUAGCCCAUACCUAAUUACAGGUUCAAAAGAUGGCUCCGUUCAUUUCUGGAGCUCCGGUGAAUUCAGUGAUUUCUGCAUGGUUCCUAGGCUGGAGAGAAUCGUUAACUUUGGCUCUGGUGGAGCUAUUUGGGGUCUCGGACGUUUCAUGGGGUCAAGAAGGAUUGUGAUCGGACAAGAGUACACAGUGUCAAUCAUGGCCAUCGACAAUGAAGACCAAAACGCUGUCAUGUUCGAGACAAAACAUAUUUCUCUGAUGAGAUAG
rnacentral:rRNA from 1 species